UACAGAGGUCUCAAGCGUUGUUCGGAUUCAUUGGGUUUAAAGGGUGCGUAGGCGGAAUGAUAAGUCAGUGGUGAAAUCCUGCAGCUUAACUGCAGAACUGCCAUUGAUACUGUCAAUCUUGAGUACAUUUGAUGUGGGCGGAAUGUGUCAUGUAGCGGUGAAAUGCUUAGAUAUGACACAGAACACCGAUUGCGAAGGCAGCUCACAAAACUGUAACUGACGCUGAGGCACGAAGCGUGGGUAUCAAACAGG
rnacentral:rRNA from 1 species